UGGGGAAUUUUGGACAAUGGGCGAAAGCCUGAUCCAGCAAUGCCGCGUGUGUGAAGAAGGCCUUCGGGUUGUAAAGCACUUUUGUCCGGAAAGAAAUCCUUGGCUCUAAUACAGUCGGGGGAUGACGGUACCGGAAGAAUAAGCACCGGCUAACUACGUGCCAGCAGCCGCGGUAAUACGUAGGGUGCAAGCGUUAAUCGGAAUUACUGGGCGUAAAGCGUGCGCAGGCGGUUUGCUAAGACCGAUGUGAAAUCCCCGGGCUCAACCUGGGAACUGCAUUGGUGACUGCAAGGCUAGAGUAUGGCAGAGGGGGGUAGAAUUCCACGUGUAGCAGUGAAAUGCGUAGAGAUGUGGAGGAAUACCGAUGGCGAAGGCAGCCCCCUGGGCCAAUACUGACGCUCAUGCACGAAAGCGUGGGGAGCAAACAGGAUUAGAUACCCUGGUAGUCCACGCCCUAAACGAUGUCAACUAGUUGUUGGGGAUUCAUUUCCUUAGUAACGUAGCUAACGCGUGAAGUUGACCGCCUGGGGGAGUACGGUCGCAAGAUUAAAACUUAAAUGAAUUGACGGGGUCAUAGCUGUUUCCU
rnacentral:rRNA from 1 species